GAUGGUGCGGGGCGGGGCGGGUCGAAAUCCUUGCGGGUUUACGCAGGUUUGCCUCGUAGCCGCACGGUUUGCCAUCCAUGCCUGUUGGACAGAUUGUUGCUCUUGCAUUUGACUAGGGCCUGCGUGCUCACUAAUUCCUGCAUUCCUUGACACCCAUUGUUGCACUAUUCUCUUUGGACCUCUCCUUCUUCUUGCUUGUUCCUACUGAAGUUCCUUUUCCUUUUUUUCCAGCUGGCCAAUUACUUGGCAUUUUUCACAGAAUAAUUGUUUCCAAUCAUACAAGAUGGCAUGUUGAAAUGUUCUUCCAUUUGGAUCCAUUACCGUAAAUUCAUCAGGAGGGAUGUAGGAUAAAGCCAUACCAUUUUCAUCUGCUUGCAAUGCAAAUAGGUUCACCCAUGGUUGAGUUGGCUGAUUUGUCUUUGCAGCUCGCUUCUUACCUUUAGAUCCUUGUUCAGUUACAAGAUGAAGUUUCUUUGCCGCUCCUAUCGCAGACGAAGUAGAUCUGAGCUCCUUAGAAUUCUUCUGCUCACUCGAUUGUGCUGGUGUGUUGUUCUCCAAUUGCAAUUUAGAUGGUGCAGAUUGUUGUAUACUAGUUCCAAUUGAUCUUCCGAAGGAGACAAUCAGUAGCUUCUUUGGCUGGGGCGACACCCUCGUUUUCCUUCUCCCGUCCUGACGACCACCGCGGCGUUGGUUUAGCUACCAUGCGCCGAGAGCAUGAGAGAGUUUUUGGAUCGAUGUUUUUUAACAGGUUCUGCUUAAAUGUUGUAUUUCCACUCAGAUUUAUUUUCUUGUGAUUGGAGAUACGUGCUACAGAAACUAGAAAUUCCCUAUGUACUUCUUUCAUAAUUGAUUAAGUAGGUGCUUUGAUGAGUUGGAUUGUGAAACUCAA